UGCUCUGUUCCCAUCUCCUUGGUUAUUCUCAGCACGGUGUACCAAAGAUACACCAGGCAGGAAGGCUGUGACACUCUGCUGCCCUAAGUGAGCGAGAUUAUAUGUGUUGCAUUAAAGGGGGAUGAGAACAAACAAACAAAUCCAUCUUUUAAAAGACUUUAUACAUCCCACUUGCUUGCAGAGCAUCCUUGGGAGAAAGCUGGUUUGUUGCGAUUGACGUUACCUGGUGCAGUAAUUAGAAGCCGUAUUUACAGCCUUGCUACCAUUUUAAUGCUGUUUUGCAUCUGUUGUACUUUCACUUAGAGAGUAAAUGUAGUGGGGAACACCUGUUUUCUACUGCUAGCUCAUGUGACAUUCCCCGGCCAGCUAUUUCCCCUCUGUUGCAGUGAGCCGUAAUUAUUUCAAUUACCAUUGCAGGGACAUUUCCCUGUAGCAACAGGUACCAGUCCUGGCCCAGGUUUUUGAGCAGAUUGGAGGUUUGAGGUGACCUCACCAGCCGCAACGGUGCACCCUGGGAUGCCUGGAGCCCCCGGCUGGAGGAUGGUAACUGGGGGAGUGAUAAGGUCCCAGCUGACUUUGAACCUGUACAGGAUUUUCUGCUGCAACUGAACGGACAUAAGACAACAGCUAUUACAUGUGCUGGAGCCCUGCUCUCCUGAUGACAGCUGAACCCCUGCCUGCCCAUGGCAAGUGGUGAAUGAAUUCCUUGUUUUGCCUGCAUGCGUGGCUUUUGCUUUACCUGUUAAACUGCCUUUAUCUCAACCCCCAAGUUUUCUCACUUUCACCCUUCCGAUCCUCUCCCCAUCCCACUGUGAGGGCAGCAGGCGAGCGGCUGCGUGGGGCUGAGCUGCCAGCUGGGGUUAAGCCAUGACAGCAGAGCCUGAGGAGAUUCAUCCCAGCGCACUGAAAGUUGGCUGAUUUUAUUGUGAGACCCCUCACAGUUACCUAUCAAUGGUCCUGGGAACCUGGAGAGGUCCCAGUCAACUGGAAGCUAGCAAAUGUUAUUCCAGUUUUCAAGAAGGGCAAGAAAGAUGACCCUGGUAAUUAUAGGCCUGUCAGUCUCACUUCGAUGCCUGGUGAAAUUAUGGAGAAGAUUAUUCUAGGAGUUAUUGAAAACAACUUGAAAGACAAUGCGGUCGUUGGACGAAGCCAACAUCUGUUUGUGAAGGGACAGUCAUGCCUUAUACCGCCGUAAUAUCCUCUUACAGCAGAACUACCCACCUAGCGGACAAAGGGAAGGCAGUAGGCAUGGGCUUUUUGGAUUUUAGCAAAAGUUUGGAUUUUGUCCAGAGGGUUACUGUGAGAGGCAGCAUGUCCAGCAUACAGCUAGACACGUACACAAGGUAACUGAAAGGUCAGACUCAAGGAGCUGUAGUGAAGGGGGUACAUCUGGCUGGUGGCCAGUCAGUACCGUUCUUCUCCAAAGGUCACUUUUAGAGCCUGUGCUCUUUGGUGCUUUUCUCAAUGACCUAGACACAGGAGUUGACCACACACUAAGUAAGCUUACUCAACGACACUAAAUUAGGAGCAGUUAAUUCCCUCAAGGGUAGAGAGGUCUUACAAAGAAUUGUCAAUACAUUAGAGCUCUGGGCAACCACCAACUGCAUGAAAUAUAACAAGAACAAGUGCCAGAUUCUGCACCUGGGACUUUGUAAAUGUAAUACCUACAGAUUGAGGGACAAGAGGCUGGAGUGCAGCCCAGCGGAAAGGGACCUGGGGGUUUUUGGUUGAUGGCAACCUCCAUGAGUCAGCAAUGUGUCCCAGCAGCCUAAAGGACGAGCUGCACCCUGUGAUGUGUUAAGCACAGUGUAGCUAACCAGCCUAAAGAAGUGACUGUCCCACUAUACUCAGUAUUGGUGGGGCCACAUCUGCUGCGCGCCGCUUUGGGCUCCACAAGGUAAGAAGGAUAUAAAAAUCUUAGAAUGUGUCCAAAGGAAGACAACAAAGAUGGUAAAAAGGACUGGAGGGCAUGAGUUAUGAGGAGCAGCUGAGGAUACUUGGUUUGGUCAGCUCAGAGAAGAGGGGACUGAGGGAUGACGUCGUUGCUGUCUACGACUGUCUCAUGGUGGAGAGUGGAGAAGAAGAUGCUGAUCUUUAUCUCUGGUGUUCAGUGAUAGGAAGCAAGGGAAUGGCUUAAAGCUGCAUCAGGGGAAGAUCGUAUUGGCUACGAUGAAAAAUCAACCAAGAGGGCGGUCAAGCACUUGAACAAGCUCCCCAGGGAAGCAGUCUGGCCUCAAGCCUGUCAGUGUCCAAGCAGAACUUGCACAACGAUCUUAGAUACAGGGUUUAACUUUUAGGCUGCCCUGUGUGGAGCUAGGCGUUGGACUGAUCCUCAUGGGUCUGUCCCUUCAGACUCAGGAUACUCUAUCUCCUCUCCCACCUAGCUCAGAGGUGCGCAGCAACGCCAUUUGCUGUUCUUGCAUUGCACUGCACUGGAGGAGGGUUCCAAAAUAGCAAAUCGCUCUUGAACUGGUUGUCCCUGGACACGCACCUAUAUCUUUAUGGAUUUGUCCAUUCGGACCCUACACCCAAGCCCCGUCAGCAGCUGCCCAGGCACAUUGGCAGCCACCCCCCCACAGCUGCCCCUCCGCCAGCGGUUAGAGGCUGUGCUGACAGCAAACACGCUUCUGAAGUGUCAUACCCAAACACGUCUGUGUUUUGGAUCUAAAUUUGUGAUUAUUUUACUGUCUUAUUCCAAGUCUUUGUCCAACCCCACCUCAAGAAUUACACCUGAAGAAUGUGUAAGUCAGGGAAAUGUCAUUCACAGAGCUGCAACAGCUUCCACAAGGGAAACGGGUUAUUGUCAAAACUCACUUAGAAGGGGCAAACUGCAGCACAGAAAGGGAGUGGCUAACUAAUGUCUGACUGAGCUCCUGGGUUUCCAUCAGUCUCAGAGGUGAAACCACUGUCUCCCAUCCCUGUCUGAUGCCCAGAGCUCAACUCCACAGCUGAUGCUUUCUGAGGACCUGAGCUGGAGCCUAAUGCUGUACCCUUGAUCUUAUCCUCUUCUCUGCAUUUCCCAGAAAAGCAUCCUUCAGCCUAGCCCAGCAACUUGUCUGGAUUAGAAAAAUGACACGAAUGCAGCCAAAAAGCAUUUUAAAUCACUGAUCCAGGCAUGGACACAGUCCUUAUCCUGGUUUCAGCUAUUUCAGGUAGUACUGAAUCAAGCUAAACUAGCACGAGAGCAUCUGCUUGCCCAGGGUAAUUAGAGUUGGCCAGUCAUACCAGGGCUGUUUUCUCAAAGCAGAACUCAGAGUGCAUACUGGUGGGACGAGGGGGAGAACUGGGCGGUGACUGAGGCUGGGGAGAGCAGAGGUGGCGGCAAUCAGAGGUUGCACUCCCAGCAGGGAGAUGGUAUCACAGAUCAGAAAAGGUAUCACGGAUCAGAAGAAUUAUCACAGAUCUUAAAGGUCAGGCUUAGGCUGCAUUUGCAGAACUAGAUGCUCUCCAACACCUGCCCCAGCAAGCAAUGGGUCUCCUCCAGACGAGGCAUCCCUCACCUCUGUGACAACCCAGCAUGAACCCACGUUUUGUCCAUCCUGCACCACCACAUGCUGAGUAAGGAAACCUGGCUGCAAAGGGCUCUGCUCUGUGGCCAACUCAGGCAUCAAAGGAGAUGCAGAGAGACCUUCCUGCAGCUCUAGGGCUUGCUUUCUACAUCGCCCAGGGAGCCUGCAGCCAGACCCUCUCCUGAUUUUGAUUCGCUACCACAGUCCAUCUUUCCUAGUCAAACCGAGCUGCUCCAGGUUGGUGCUGCCUCUCUGGCUCUGCACAUCACAGCAGCUUUCUGGUUGCGGGGCUCUCUAGACAGUACUAUGCCACAAAUAACUGUUAGUAAACAGCAGCAGCUUGAAAAUGCACCAGGAAAAUCAUUCUGCUCUGUAGUAUGUUUAAGAGGGAGAGCGAAGGUUAUGCAGGUUUUUUAUCCAUAUAGCCAACAGAAGGCUCUUAGUUUAUUUAGGUCAAUUAACUUCAGCUUUCAAAUUAAGUUCUCAUCUCAUUUUACAGACAGGCUGUAAGCAAAGCAUAAAAAAGGGUCAGCUGAGGAGAGCACAGCCCAGGAUUUCUAGACUGUUAAGUAAUUCAAACUCAAAGGGUAGAAACAAAUUUGAGAUAAGAGUGCACAGACCACCUAACAACGCCUGCCACUUCCAGCACUUAUAUUUUCUUUGCUCUGUGCAUCAAACUUCCAGGACAGAAAAAGGUAGAAAAAAAGAGCUGAUAUAAAGAGCUGCGCAGAGGAAGCCAUUUGUGGUACACAACAACGCGUUUUAUUGGUCUCGCACACCCGGGGAACGAUGCUCCAUAUUCUUGAGUGCCAUCUACUGGCAUUUUUAUCUCUUUGCUAUAUAUUAAAGCCAACCCCAGUGUUAAAAGAGCAGUCAGGUUGCAGUCAAGCACUUGAAAAAUGCCAGAAUCCGCACUGCACAGAUAACCCAAGCCCAGUCCCCUUGCAUAGAUGCAUCGCAACACACGUUGUAAUAAUAUGAUCACGGAGCACUUUUUCCGCAGGAAAAAGCCCCCUUCCGUACACCAGAUGGAUAAUGCUCUCUUAAUGAGCAGCUAUUCAAUAUUUUUCUUUAUCCUCAUCAUUCAAUAUGUAGCCCUGUGUCCCGUGUAUGGCAUGUUAUUGAAGUCCUGGUCUAAAUAAUGAGCUAUUAAUUUUCUCCUGGGCUUUCACAACAUUUAUUAUCAUAGUAUCUGAGCAGUUUGCAAACAUUAAUUUGCCUUACAGCAGCCCUGCAAGGAAGGGUGGAAUUAUUCUUGUACAGAUGGGGAACUGAGGCAUGGCCAAAUUAAAAUCAGAAGGGUAUCAUGUGGAUGGGUGCUCGAUUUGAGAUGCAGAAAGGACCCAUUUCUCAGAGCUUUGCAAGUCCAGGUUUUCAGUGUUUAGGGCACCACUCUGACAGCCUCCACAUCCAGCUAUGAGCCCCCAGCUUUCCCAGUCCCAUCUGCUGUAGCAGCUGGGAACCCAGCAGCGCUGGGGUUCAUUUGAGUUGAAGUUUCUCUGUAACUUAUCUAGUGACUCUGCUGCACUCACCCAGGCUGCCUUACUAGCUCCAGAGAGGCACAGCUCCCCAGAAGCAGUGCUCCCCUCCAAGUUGGUCAUCUCGCCGUGGAUUGCAGAGUCAGCCGAAACAACUGCUUCGGUCUGGGGCAGCCAAAAUUACAUACUUACUAUGGAUCAUCCCAAAGACCAUCUCUUACUCGUAACACAACCCACAAGACACUUCCUCGCACACCUCUGGCAAGCUGAAGACUUGCAUUAGAAGACCAGAAAGCAUGGCAAAAACAUGCCGAAGGAGGAGAGAGCAAGAGCAUCAGACUGGGGUCCUGCCACCAAUGAAUAGUAGUCCCUGUCGAUUCAGAAGAGCCCAUAAACACAGCACUAUGGAAGACAGCAACAACCUCAUCCAUAUUCCCUGCCCAGCUGUUAUGGAGAAAAAAGCACUCUGCCACCUCCAAAUCCCGUGGCAGCGCAACCCAGCCCAUAUCAGCAGUUACACCAACCCCAGCCCGAGAGAGCGGUGCCGGGACAGGCACCAGUGCUGUCUCUCUGUCACAGCAGCUCUCCGAAGCUUCUGAAGAAGCAAAAGAGACCUAACACACAAUCAGAAAGUCAUGGAUGGGGACAGAGAAAGGAUAAACCCCUUCUUGACACCUACGGCUCCCCAGGCAGCCCUGACAUCAGGCUGUAGCCUCCCCAGCCACCCAGGAAGGGAGAGCUCACAGUCAGUGCGUGGGGCUCAGAGCGAGCUGCAUCACUGCAGCCUUUGCAGCGGAGGGAGGGCUCCAGUGCCCCUGCUCUGGGCCUAGUGCAUCACAUCAGCCCACUGAUCUGCAAAACCAGCCAUGCAUUCUGCCCUGACAGGGGAGCUUUCAGCCCCGCAUCACUAUUUUCAUUCUGCUCUGCACACCCAGUAGAACUGCAAGACCAUCUAGGGGAGCAGAAAUCAUUUUCUGUUGUAUUCAGAGAAGGAAGCACUAGUCAUCCACAUCAUGACAAUAUAUUUCCUUAUUACUUUCCAUUCUUUCCUGUCCCUUACUCCUCCUAAGAUCUUAUUUGCAUUUUUGAUCAGAUCCAUACACCGAGGAGAAGCCUUCAGGGAGCUGGUUGUACCAGUGCCCAGGUCUUUUUCCUGGGCUGAAUCAAUUAAUUUACACCUCUGGGAAUAAAAUGAAUUCUUUCCUGCAACAUGUACAAUUACACCCAGUUUUCAUUGGUAAGAGAGGGGGAGAAUGAGGCUUUGAAAUGCAAAGUCACAUGUGCAAAUCAUCAUCUCCAGCAUCAAAAGCUUCACCCACAUGCUGUGAUCUCAGGUGAGGCAGCACCUUACCUGUGCAGGAGGAACCACUGCCUCUUCUGUGCCGACCUGCCCACACUGAGCCAUCCAGGCUCAUCCUCACCCUGGGUCCCUGGCGAUCAGCGAUGGCCCUGCCAGAGGAGAUGGACAAGUUCAAUAGGUGACCAGAUUACCUGGCACCUUCCCGAAGCGCAGCAGCACCCCAUAAGCCUGGUGGUGUGGCUCACGCCCCCCUCGCAAGGCUCCCCCCGUUAGCCCCUGCUAGCCCCCCUGCCCAGCCCAUUGCAUUUGUUUAAACUUCCAUCUCGUACACUGGAGCCUGCAGGGCUCAACCACGUCCCCAGCACAAAGCACGGUAGUAGCAAACCCCAGCACAGGACUGCCUGCACAUUUUCAGGCUAAUUUGCUGAUUUGAGGCUCUUCAGCCCAACUUCCUCCUGUAUUGUUACAUUUAGACUUCUUUUCUUUUUUUCUUGAGUAUUUAAACAUGGACAAAAUCUGUCCCUCACGCGCAGCUGGGAAUACAUCUUCUUCCUCACACAACACCAGAAAUUUUGUCUCUCGAUGGAAGGGAGGAGGAAAAGCCUGAUGUGGUCUAGUACCUUCUAGGUGGCAACCAGUGCUGGAUCUACCUCAGUCAGCUCCUUGUAGGUGCUUUAGAUCAGGUGUUUUUCCAGGCCUGGCCAGUGAGCAGGUCUGGCCUCGCACAAGGGCUGAGCCACCUCCUCUCCCCCCUUCCCACGCACACAGAAGGCAACAGCACUUGUAGAAACGGCCACAUUGGUUAAGAGCAUUACACAGCAGGCUUGAUAAUCAAAUGUGAAUGCUGCCGAGUAACCACACAUACCGUCCCUUUUUCCCACCCCUCUCCCAUGGCAUUUCAGUUCCUCCCAUCCCUGUGCUCUCUGUUUCUCUCUCACACCGCUUUUCCCAUUUUCCUGACUCCAGCAGAGUCACACCGAUUUCUUCCUGUGCUUCCCAUCCCUCCCACCUGAACAGCCCCUCUCCCACCGCUGUCCUCUCAGAUACACCGACACCUUCCUCAUGCACGUUCCCAGGCGUGAAGCCUUCACCACCGCCCGGGCAGCCAGAGCGUGCCUACUAAGCAUCCCUGCCGAAGGCAAGGGCCACUGAGAAACGUUAACAUAAAACUCACCAAAUUGGAUCCAUGAGACUCCCAACAGUUUGGUUAACUUUAUUUCUUGUAAUUACUAACAUACUGACGCUCGUUAGGUUUGGCAAACAGACCUCAAGAACACAGAUCCUGCAAAAGCAUUGACUAGGGAGCUGGGAUAACUCUGGCUCAUAAACUUUGGGGUUUUCUGAUGCAGCCAAAGCCGAGCAAAUAUCCAGCAGCUCCCCUUCCCCUCCUGCUUCAAGGCUUUAAGAAGCUUUCCAGGAUUCCUGCAAUUCACUACAGAGGUGGAAAAUCUUUUUUGCACCAAAGGAGCUGCUGGGACCCUCCUGCCCAGGGGCUGCGAAGGUGCUGGGAGGUGAGAGCCACCAGCAGCACCCACAGCUGCAGGCUGCAGCACCAUGUGCCUCAGUUUCCCUCUCUCAAGACGUACCAACGACCAUAGCCACCCCUUUAAGGGGCUGUGACAUCUCCGGGCGCAGAGCAUCCCUCUCCAAACAGGCCCCAACCUCACGUGCAACAACUUCACAAUCAAGUUCUCCUCGGACAACCUCCCUGCACAAUACCUAGUUUGAACUCUGUAGAAAAUAGUUAAUUAAUCUCUCUUGCUGCGGCCUAAUUCUCUUUUCAACAUGUGGCUGUCACUUCCCUGUCAUCACAGCUGAUUUACAAUGGGGUUUAAUUAAAUCCUCCGUACAUUAUUCAGCAUUCUCUGAAGACAACACCAAAGCAGCCAAGGGUAUUUAAAAUGUCACCUGCUGAGACGUAUCAUCUCCUCCUAAAUAAAUAUGACAGUGAUCAA